AAUAAAUCCUGUCUUAUCCGUACUGCAUGUGUUUAUGAUGGUGUUGGUGGAAGAAGAAAGAAGCAUAGAAGAAGGGCUUUUGGAGCUCAGUAACCAAAGUGACGCUUCAGGCUGUCGUAUCACUGCCUGUGUUAUCCUCAGCACUUUCGUCGCCAUCUGUGGCUCCUUCUCCUUUGGAGUUGCUAUUGGUUAUACUUCAGGUGCUGAGAUAGGAAUUAUGAAAGACAUGGGUCUCUCUAUCGCAGAGGUAUGUCUCUCUUUUAGUUCUUAUUUUUGACUAUUUCCAUAAACAAACAUUAGAAUGAAACUAAUCACAAACUACUUAUUCAUUCAAAUUGCAAACUGCAAUAGAUAAACUAUCAGGAAAAGAUAUAUCGUUGUUAUCCCAAAUAUUGAAGUUGACUUUACGUGUGGUUCACUUCCAUUUUACCCUCUUUUGUUUUUUUCUUGUUAACAUCCUCCAUUUUUACCUUUAAAAAAUUUAAUCGCAAGUUCUUAAAAAAAAUGUUAUCAUGAUAUAUAAACCCUUAACCACUUCAAGGUGGCCCAGUGGUAAGCGUCAAAGAGAUAGCGCUGCAUGGGUUCGAAUUGCGGUGGCCACCCGGGCUAGCGUUAAAUCGCAAGAAUACGUGGAUUGUCGUGGGCUUCGUGGGAUUAGUCGGUUGACCUCGGUCGUCAGAUCCCCACGGUUAUCAAAAAAAAAAAUGAUAUAUAAACCCUACGAACAAUAGAUAUAUAAUUUCCUUAUAUAAUAUAAAUAUAUAUAUAUAUAAUUUACCCAUUAAUAUAUCUAAUUUUCUCAUGUGUGGAAUUUUGAAAUCAUACAAAAUAGUGUAUAUAUCUAUCAAUUGUAUUAAUUCCGGCCGUACUCUCUCAUUUACGACGAUGGAGGCUAUGUAUUUCACCAUGUAUCCCUCUUUUGUCUUAUUUUAGUACCGUACCGUUCAUUCAUGUAUUUCUCUUUUCUGCUUUUCAGUGAAUAGAUUACUUAAUAUGUAUUAGUAUUUCUUGUUUUAGUAACUAAUGUCCCGAUAAAACUGAUCUACUCAUCAACUUUGGCAAUUUAAAAUUUCAAAAAAAACUCUGGCAAUUUAUAGUUUGAGUAAUCAAGAAUAUCUUAAAAUUUUAAUCAAAUUUCAGUUCUCAGCGUUUGCUUCACUCUCUACGUUAGGAGCAACAUUCGGUGCAUUGUUCAGCGGUAAAAUGGCGAUCCUGCUAGGAAGAAGAGGAGUAAUUAUAUUGUUACCUUUACAUAAUAAUCAUAAAAAAAAAAUUAGUAGGAUUUGAUAAUCAAAAUUUUCCCAUUUAAGGAAAAAUAAUCAUGGCAAAAAGAAAGAAAUAAAGAAUAGAAACUUCCUAUCAUAAAUGUAUAUUUUGUUGCUUUGCAUGAUUUGAAGACAAAUGUGGGUCUCCGAUAUCCUCUGUGUCAUUGGUUGGCUGUGCAUCGCUUUCGCUAAGGUAUUAACAAGAUAUCCUUUUUUUUACUGAUAUUAACAAGAUAUCUUACCACAAACAUAAAGGUCGUAAUUUCAUUAUUUCUUGAAAAGUGAUCAAACAAUUUAUCAUUUGGUUAUAUAUACCGAACAAUUUAAUAGUUUUUCUUUUCUUUUGGUAUGCAUGAAUGGCACAUAAAAGAAUGUGUUGUGGCUACACUUCGGAAGAAUCUCAUCGGGAAUAGGAAUCGGCUUGAUUAGCUAUGUGGUAAUUAAAAUUAUGUCAAAUAGUUCACUCUAUAGUAGAAUUGAACUAUAUCUAAUGAUAUAUUCUUAAUGUCAUUCUAACCAUUUUUUCUUAUUACACAAAAAGUAUCACUUUGCAAUUCCAAUGCAAAUUAUACUUAUUUUCAUCUGAAAAUUAAUUGCAAACAUUUUAUAAAUAAUUUUAUUUAUCUGAGAUACUAUUGGUCAAAGAAGUGUAAUUAAUAACAACUUACAUAUAUUUCUACCACUUUUUUAAUCUGUGUGAAAAAUGUCAAAGUGACACUUAUUCAGAAACGGAGAGAGUAAUAUUUUAAAAUAAAAAUAAAAUGAUAAACAAAAAAUAAAUAAAAUAUUUUAUUUGUAAAGUAAAUCUAAAUUUAUUCUAUUAUCGAGUAAGAAAAUAGAACCAAGUUGCAUUUUCUUACCUCUAUUUUAUAGAGAAAAAUAUGGUGAGGUUAGAGAUGUUCUAACAUGUUAUUCUGAUAAUUUCUUACAUAAAUAUGAUAUCAUCUUACAAUUUUUUUUAUCUUUGUUUAUCUAUUAUAUACAUUUACUGUUGAUUUUUAAAUGUACACCAAGCAGGUACCUGUGUACAUAGCAGAAAUUACGCCAAAACAUGUUCGCGGUACAUUUACCUUUUCAAACCAGCCUCGCCGCCACGAUACCAGUAAAGACAAUCUCUGUCAAGCAUAGACUCCAACACAGGCGUACACUCUUGCCGAUUUGAGAGCUGGCCUUUGGAUCUUAGUAAGUUUGACUAUGUUCUUUUCCUUUUGCUAACCUCAUGACUGUCGUCAUAUCUGAAAGCAAUCUCUUAUACUACAUCUAUCAAAGAAGAUUACUACGUACGUUUUGCUAUUGCCGGGCCUGUUCAUUGAAAGUCAUUCCUCUAAUUCUCUGUUAUUUCAACACGCAUGCCUCUGAUGAGUUUCUUCCAUAUUUUUUUCCUUUAGUUUCUAAUGUAUAAUAUGCUGGUUUGAACAGGAACUAAGCUUUGCAACUCAGAUAGUUCAUGUGGUAAUUGCUGGAAACGCUGUUGAAUUUUUCCAUAAACUGGACAGAUAUCUCUACUUAUAUACAGCUUCAAUUAUCGCCUCUUAGAAACGUUAUUACUGGCUGAUUUUUGCAGAACAUGGACUCCAAAGAUCAAUCAAAACUGUAUGAGCCCAUCAAAGAGCUUGAUAUCAUGUUAACACAAGUGAGAAUGUUUGGCGAGCUGUCAAUGAACUAUAAACUGACUGGUGAAGCUGUAAGUUGUUUUAUUUUACGAGAGAACACGGCUUCUAUACCAUUUGUACUUGAUUUUAGGGUACUAAAGUUUUCUUGGACAGGUUGCAGUUUAAAAAUGAUGAACAGGAUGUAUAUCUCUUGGGAAGAAUGUAUUAAUCUGAGGGAAGUGAAGGUUUCAUAUCGUAUGAAUGAUUGUAUUAAUCUUCUUGAGGAAUUUGAUGUCUAAAAUUGGUGCUUUCAAGUCUUUUCUUGCAUGCCUCAGCGUGGAUACUUCCAUCGUGAUCUAAAGUCAGAAAAUAUGUUCUCUAAAAAUGUCAUCAUUAAGAUCACUGAUCUUGGCGUAGCCUGGGAGGUCCAUUCGAAUAUACAGAGUAUGUCUAGACACGCUGGUACAUGGCACCAGACGUACCGACUACAGUCAUAUGUGUACACGUCAAAAGUUGAUAUGUGGGCUAUGGGUGCUAUUCUGACUAAAGUUGUUGUCUCUUCGCUCUCUCUCUUUCGAAGCUAGAUAUUCUUUAAUGUGUGCAGUGUGAUAGGUAUCCCAACCAAAGAGACAUGGUUGAAGGGGCUAAAUCUUACUAGCGUUAUCGAUUACCAAUUCCCUCAUGUAAUGUUUGCUCAAAUAUUCAACGUUUCUUGGGCAAAAGUAGUGUCACGGAUAUUUACGUCUACAUCGUUAAUCAUUGUACCAAUAUACAAUAAUAUUUAUGAUUAAACGAGAGCACUAAUAGUGUAUUAUACUAUUAUCUAAAAUAAAAAGGAUUUAUUGAGAGUUUUUUUUUAAGUACUUGAAAGUGUUUCCUAUAUAUUCAUUACAGAGAAUUAGGGCUGAACAAAAUAACCCAACCCAAAAAGUAGUAUAUGUUCAGAGUUCUCUGAAGUAUGUGUGGUUCAGAAUUAUAAAUUUAAAUAUUUUAAUUAUUUUCUAAAAUAAUAUUGCACAACUAUCUAAAAGAUUUUAUUAUCCGAAAAAAUAAAAAAAUAUCUAAAAACUACACAAAAUA